GAUGAAGAACGUAGCGAAAUGCGAUACGUAAUGUGAAUUGCAGAAUUCAGUGAAUCAUCGAAUCUUUGAACGCAUAUUGCGCUCUCCGGUAUUCCGGAGAGCAUGCUUGUUUGAGUAUCAGUAAACACCUCAACUCCCUUUUCUUUUUUGAAAUUGGAGCUGGACUUGAGUGAUCCCAACGCUUUCUUCCAAGAAAGUGGCGGGUUGCUUGAAAUGCAGGUGCAGCUGAACUUUUCUCUGAGCUAUAAGCAUAUCUAUUUAGUCUGCCUAAAAAACAGAUUAUUACCUUUGCUGCAGCUAACAUAAAGGAGACUAGUUCUUGUGCUGACUGAUGCAGGAUUCACAGAGACAGCUUCGGCUGACUUUGUAAACUCGAUCUCAAAUCAAGUAAGACUACCCGCUGAACUUAAGCAUAUCAAUAAGCGGAGGA
rnacentral:misc_RNA from 1 species